UUUUUUUUUUUUUAUAGCAACGAGAUGCAAUCGAGCAAGACGGGUCACCUGAUGGUAAGUGAUUCACCGCCGCCCACGGUCACCAGCGUUUACGCCAGUGCGUUGCCUACCCUUCAGAUAUCUCCGCUCUCGAAGAAAGAAUCCCUUGGACUCGUCACAUCUAUCACCAGUCUGAAAACAAAACAACUAUUAAUUGAUUCUAAAACAAAUUACACUGAAACCAUAUAAGUAUUAUGGAAAAUCAAUAAUUAUUAUAAGAAGAAAAAUAUUUUGUACUUCAAAGAA